rnacentral:rRNA from 1 species
ACUGCUCAGUAACACGUGGAUAACCUACCCAAAGGUCCGGGAUAACCCCGGGAAACUGGGGAUAAGACCGGAUAGAUCACUUUUCCUGGAAGGGUUGGUGGUUGAAACGCGAGGCUUUUGGAUGGGUCUGCGGCUGAUUAGGUUGUUGCCGGUGUAACGUACCGUCAAGCCUGUAAUCAGUACGGGUUGUGGGAGCAAGAGCCCGGAGAUGGAUUCUGAGACACGAAUCCAGGCCCUACGGGGCGCAGCAGGCGCGAAAACUCUACAAUGCAGGCAACUGCGAUAGGGGAACAUCGAGUGGCACUCAUAUUGGGUGUCUGUCCUCCAGCCUAAAAAGCUGGGGUUAGCAAGGGCCGGGCAAGACCGGUGCCAGCCGCCGCGGUAAUACCGGCGGCUCGAGUGGUGGCCGAUAUUAUUGAGUCUAAAGGGUCCGUAGCCGGCUUUGCAAGUCUCUCGGGAAAUCCAGCGGCUUAACCGUUGGUCGUCCGGGGGGUACUACAUUGCUUGGGACUGGGAGAGGCGAGAGGUACUCAGGGGGUAGGAGUGAAAUCCUGUAAUCCUUUGGGGACCACCGGUGGCGAAGGCGUCUCGCCAGAACAGGUCCGACGGUGAGGGACGAAAGCUAGGGGCACGAACCGGAUUAGAUACCCGGGUAGUCCUAGCCGUAAACGAUGCUCGCUAGGUGUCACAACAGUCGUGAACUGUUGUGGUGCCGUAGGGAAGCCGUGAAGCGAGCCACUUGGGAAGUACGACCGCAAGGUUGAAACUUAAAGGAAUUGGCGGGGGAGCAC